UGCAGAAGAGGAAAGUGGAAUUCCAUGUGUAGCGGUGAAAUGGUAGAGAUAUGGGAGGACACCAGUGGCGAAGGCGACUUUAUUGGUCUGUAACUGACACUGAGGCGCGAAAGCGUGGGGAGCAAACAGGAUUAGAUUCCCUGGUAGUCCACGCCGUAAACGAUGAGUGCUAAGUGUUAGAGGGUUUCCGCCCUUUAGUGAUGAAGUUAAAGCAUUAAGCACUCCGCCUGGGGAGUACGGCCGCAAGGCUGAAACUCAAAGGAAUUGACGGGGGCCCGCACAAGCGGUGGAGCAUGUGGUUUAAUUUGAAGCAACGCGAAGAACCUUACCAGGUCUUGACAUCCUCUGAAAACCCUAGAGAUAGGGCUUCUCCUUCGGGAGCAGAGUGACAGGUGGUGCAUGGUUGUCGUCAGCUCGUGUCGUGAGAUGUUGGGCUAAGUCCCGCAACGAGCGCAACCCUUGAUUUUAGUUGCCAUCAUUAAGUUGGGCACUCUAAGGUGACUGCCGGUGACAAACCGGAGGAAGGUGGGGAUGACGUCAAAUCAUCAUGCCCCUUAUGACCUGGGUUACACACGUGCUACAAUGGACGGUACAAAGAGCUGCAAGACCGCGAGGUGGAGCUAAUCUCAUAAAACCGUUCUCAGUUCGGAUUGUAGGCUGCAACUCGCCUACAUGAAGCUGGAAUCGAUGUUAAUCGCGGAUCA
rnacentral:rRNA from 1 species